AUACUGGGAAAUAUGGCUCGUGAUUUCUUAGCAAUUCCAGUAUCAACUGUCAUUUCCAAGUCAUCAGAGGUUAUGAAGAUGGCAUCAGUCCAUGACUGUGUUCGUCCUGACAUAGCUGAGGCUUUGAUAUGUGGAAAGGAUUGGUUGGACAACCCUACCUGGAACAAUUGAUCCAUGUUUGGAUCCUCACUGGUAGUUGCUACUUGCUAGUAGUGUGAAAUAAAUUUUUCCCAGGGUCAACCAGGCUGAGCAUAUCUGAUUUGGAUGCUGUAGAAGAAUAGUACUGGACAUAAGAACCUGAAGUGACGAAGACUUAUUAUUUGCUCAAUUUUAUAGAUGUAAGAAAUAAUUUGAAACUACGUGUGAGUCCGUUUUGGCUUAAAACAAAGCAAGAAACUGAUGUUUUUU